rnacentral:rRNA from 1 species
AGAGAGAGACAUGCGCGCAUAUCAAUAAGCGGAGGAAAAGAAACUAACUAGGAUUCCCUCAGUAACGGCGAGUGAAGCGGGAAGAGCUCAAAUUUGAAAUCUUCAAGGUUCUACCUUGACGAAUUGUAGUUUAAAGAAGUGUUUUCUGUUGGAGUUUUGGUAAAAGUUCUUUGGAAUAGGACAUCAUAGAGGGUGAGAAUCCCGUAUUUGACCAUUAUUUCUAGCUUUGUGAUACACUUUCAAAGAGUCGGAUUGUUUGGGAAUGCAGUCCAAAAUGGGUGGUAAAUUUCAUCUAAAGCUAAAUAUUGGCGAGAGACCGAUAGCGAACAAGUACCGUGAGGGAAAGAUGAAAAGAACUUUGAAAAGAGAGUUAAACAGUACGUGAAAUUGUCAAAAGGGAAGCGUUUGACACCAGUGUUGUUUUCUCGAAAAUCAAUUAAAAAAGGCCGGAUUUUGUGUUGUAUUGACCUUAUAAGCUUUCUGCACUCUUUUCAUGUUUAUUUUUAAUGCACUUUUCGUUUAACAAGUCAACAUCAAUUUCUUUUGUUGUAAAAAGGGUCAUUGGAAGGUGGCUUUCUUUUCGGAGAAAGUGUUUAUAGCCUUUGACUCCUGCAAUCGGAGAGACUGAGGUCUGCAGCGUAGAUCCUUCGGGAUUAGAUUACAUUUGUGCUAAGUUAUAGCCUUUCAUAGACAACUUGUUGACUAUGAUUUAGUCAUGUAGCUUACUCGCUUAUGUAUUUUACCUACGCUUAGGAUGUUGACAGCAGUAUAGACUGU